CCGCGAGGGGGAGCUAAUCCCAGAAAGUGUAUCGUAGUCCGGAUUGUAGUCUGCAACUCGACUACAUGAAGUUGGAAUCGCUAGUAAUCGCGGAUCAGCAUGUCGCGGUGAAUACGUUCCCGGGUCUUGUACACACCGCCGUCACACCAUGGGAGCGGGUUUCACCAGAAGUAGGUAGCCUAACCGUAAGGAGGCGCUUACCACGGUGGGAUUCGUGACUGGGGUGAAGUCGUAACAAGGUAGCCGUAUCGGAAGGUGCGGCUGGAUCACCUCCUUUCUA
rnacentral:rRNA from 1 species